ACGCUCGACACCUACGGGAGCAGCAGUGGGGAAUAUUGCACAAUGGGGGAAACCCUGAUGCAGCGACGCCGCGUGAAGGAAGAAGUAUCUCGGUAUGUAAACUUCUAUCAGCAGGGAAGAAAAUGACGGUAUCUGACUAAGAAGCCCCGGCUAACUACGUGUCAGCAGCCGCGGUAAUCUGAGCGGGCUGGCAAGGC
rnacentral:rRNA from 1 species